GCAUACUUUAGAUCCCCAUUCAUUUUAUUUUAAUAAAUAAAAUUACUGCCAAAUCCUAACAGGAAAAAUUUUACAAAUUUUAACUUAUUAGCGUAACCCAUCUCUUCUUUUAAAAGCUGCACCUUGAUUUGAUCUAAAAUAAAAUUUUAUUUAACGAAAAUUAACGUUCUUUGGAAAUAUUCAUUUCAACAACGAUAUACAAGCAAUUUAAAAGUAAAAUAAAUUGUGGACUAUCAAUUACAGGACAGGUUCCUCUGGUAGGCUCAAGUACCGCCAAGACAUUUAAUUUUCAAGCACUUAACUAAUACUAAUCCGGUUUAAAUGAUUACGAUAUAAAUAACAGGGUAUCUAAUCCUGGUUUAAAAUAAUAUUUUUAUAGAUCAUCUUAUUUCUUAUUCUGUAUUUUUAUAUUAAAAUUUCACCUCUAAAUAUAACUAAUCUAAAUUUAUAAUCAAUUAACUAAAACCACAAAAAUUAAGUAGCACCUUUUGUUUAACCGCA
rnacentral:rRNA from 1 species